CUAAUACAUGCAAGUCGAGCGAACGGACGAGAAGCUUGCUUCUCUGAUGUUAGCGGCGGACGGGUGAGUAACACGUGGAUAACCUACCUAUAAGACUGGGAUAACUUCGGGAAACCGGAGCUAAUACCGGAUAAUAUUUUGAACCGCAUGGUUCAAAAGUGAAAGACGGUCUUGCUGUCACUUAUAGAUGGAUCCGCGCUGCAUUAGCUAGUUGGUAAGGUAACGGCUUACCAAGGCAACGAUGCAUAGCCGACCUGAGAGGGUGAUCGGCCACACUGGAACUGAGACACGGUCCAGACUCCUACGGGAGGCAGCAGUAGGGAAUCUUCCGCAAUGGGCGAAAGCCUGACGGAGCAACGCCGCGUGAGUGAUGAAGGUCUUCGGAUCGUAAAACUCUGUUAUUAGGGAAGAACAUAUGUGUAAGUAACUGUGCACAUCUUGACGGUACCUAAUCAGAAAGCCACGGCUAACUACGUGCCAGCAGCCGCGGUAAUACGUAGGUGGCAAGCGUUAUCCGGAAUUAUUGGGCGUAAAGCGCGCGUAGGCGGUUUUUUAAGUCUGAUGUGAAAGCCCACGGCUCAACCGUGGAGGGUCAUUGGAAACUGGAAAACUUGAGUGCAGAAGAGGAAAGUGGAAUUCCAUGUGUAGCGGUGAAAUGCGCAGAGAUAUGGAGGGACACCAGUGGCGAAGGCGAC
rnacentral:rRNA from 1 species